rnacentral:rRNA from 1 species
AAACCAACUGGGAUUACCUUAGUAACGGCGAGUGAAGCGGUAAAAGCUCAAAUUUGAAAUCUGGUACUUUCAGUGCCCGAGUUGUAAUUUGUAGAAUUUGUCUUUGAUUAGGUCCUUGUCUAUGUUCCUUGGAACAGGACGUCAUAGAGGGUGAGAAUCCCGUUUGGCGAGGAUACCUUUUCUCUGUAAGACUUUUCCGAAGAGUCGAGUUGUUUGGGAAUGCAGCUCAAAGUGGGUGGUAAAUUCCAUCUAAAGCUAAAUAUUGGCGAGAGACCGAUAGCGAACAAGUACAGUGAUGGAAAGAUGAAAAGAACUUUGAAAAGAGAGUGAAAAAGUACGUGAAAUUGUUGAAAGGGAAGGGCAUUUGAUCAGACAUGGUGUUUUUGCAUGCACUCGCCUCUCGUGGGCUUGGGCCUCUCAAAAAUUUCACUGGGCCAACAUCAAUUCUGGCAGUAGGAUAAAUCAUUAAGAAUGUAGCUACCUCGGUAGUGUUAUAGCUUAUUGGAAUACUGCU